UACGAAGGGGGCUAGCGUUGCUCGGAAUCACUGGGCGUAAAGCGCACGUAGGCGGAUCUUUAAGUCAGGGGUGAAAUCCUGGAGCUCAACUCCAGAACUGCCUUUGAUACUGGCGAUCUCGAGUCCGGGAGAGGUGAGUGGAACUGCGAGUGUAGAGGUGAAAUUCGUAGAUAUUCGCAAGAACACCAGAGGCGAAGGCGGCUCGCUGGGCUUGGUCUGACGCUGAGGCGCGAAAGCGUGGGGAGCGAACAGG
rnacentral:rRNA from 1 species